GACGAACGCUGGCGGCGUGCUUAACACAUGCAAGUCGAACGGGUCUGCCCUGUUUUUUGCGGGGUGGGUCAGUGGCGAACGGGUGAGUAACACGUGAGUAACCUGCCCCUCACUUCUGGAUAACCGCUUGAAAGGGUGGCUAAUACGGGGUGUUCUGGCUGUGCCGCAUGGUGUGGCUGGGAAAGAUUCACUUUUGUGGUGUUUUGGUGGGGGAUGGGCUCGCGGCCUAUCAGCUUGUUGGUGGGGUGAUGGCCUGCCAAGGCUUUGACGGGUAGCCGGCCUGAGAGGGUGGGCGGUCACACUGGGACUGAGAUACGGCCCAGACUCCUGCGGGAGGCAGCAGUGGGGGGUAUUGCACAAUGGGCGGAAGCCUGAUGCAGCGACGUCGCGUGAGGGAUGGAGGCCUUCGGGUUGUGAACCUCUUUCGCCGGUGAAGAAGGUCCUGCUCUUUGUGGUGGGGUUGACGGUAGCCGGGCUAUGAAGCGCCGGCUAACUACGUG
rnacentral:rRNA from 1 species